rnacentral:lncRNA from 1 species
CUCCACGUUGCAUGGCUGGUCAUAAUCCUGUCUGCAAUUCUUCAUGAGCAGCAACUUUCAGUGAGGUUGAAGAGUAAUGUAAAUAUCUAGAGUUUCAGAAGCCAGGGCUGUACUGUGGAACACAUUCCAUCUAGAUUAUCCCUGACUUGCAUUGAAGGAGAAUCAAUGACAGUUUUUUCAAGAAAAAACAAUUUCCCACAAUUUUUCAGAGACUUGCAGGAACUACUUUUGGAAAACAGCAAUCAAGGUAUUCAGUCUUCAUCCUCUUAUUUGCAGAGAUAGUUUCCUUACUAUGUCAUAUCUAUAUGAAAUUACUAUAUGGGGCUUUCACAAUUGUUCUGCUCCUGGAAAGGUCACACUGGGCUGGCUUGCAUAGCAUGAGGAACAAACUUCAAGGGAUUCACUGAAGGACUUUCACUUGAAAAAAUUUUGCAAGUAUUAUCACAUUGGGGAUGGCCUUCUCUAAGGAACAGGAUCUGAGGUUUUAAGGCGGGAGGUGCCAGAGCUUGCACAAGACUAAAUCAAGCCAAAAGAAAACAUCUGGAGAUGUCAAAAUGUGGAUGAAUGGAAGUCUCAGCUGGAUUGUUCCAUACGGUUUUGGAUACCAUACUUCAGAAAAUAUGUGGUCCAAAUGGAUGUACUCUGCAGAGAUUAAAAAGAAUAACUGGAAACUGGGAUCAGCAAGCAAAACAAAAGCAGAAUUAGGUUUAUUUAGUCUGAAAAAUAGAACUCCAAAGGAAGGCAGGAGAAAUAUUCCUUAGACACACAGUAGGUAAGGUUGAUACUCUUAAUCUUUAUGGGUGGAAAAAUAGCUGCCUAGGUUAUCUGCCAGAGAAACUCUUGGAAAGGAGUUGUUAUGAUUGAUCAGCCACAGGAAAUGCUUCCUGCAGUGUUCUGGGGCAAAACUAUGAGAGAGGAAACGUCUGACUCUGACACUCUUAUGGCAUGGACCACACUGGAACAGCUGGGGCUUCUUAUUUUGCUGGCUGAACUGAUGCCUAAAGAGGCUGACCUGGAACAGAGGCUAGACAGAGUUAAAGGAACAAAGCAGGUAUUUGUUAAAAGACCUUUAAAGGAUGCACCUGGAGCAGUUCAAGAGCCCAGCCAUGGCUCCACCCAAGAUGGACCCAAGAUGGACCCAAGAUGGACAACUGGUCAUGAGUUUUCAAACGUUUUAAAGUUUUGGGCCAUUUACAUAUUGGGCUUAAUUGUCCAAUUCCUGCUUCAGGUUAUGAAGUCCCAUCCUCCCAGACUGCUCUCAUCAAUUUGCUGUUGUUUAUACCUUUUGGGCCUGAGGCUGCAAUGGUGUCCUUGGUUCCCAAGCUGGAAAAGGAUUGUUUGGUCUAACUGA